CGCAGACGCCCCGCAGGCACUCUUCAGAGACAGGUCCUGCCAUCCCAGAGAAUAGCUCUCCAUCCCAAGACAGGCACAGAGUGUGCUCAGAUGAAACUGUGUCCAAAAAGUGCUGCCGGAGGAGAGCGACAAGCGUCAAGCCCCCCUGGUGAGCGUAUCAUCGCCUGGUUCAGAGCCCGCCCAGGGCAAGUGAAAAGCAACGUGCCACAGGACCCUUCCCAGUCACACGUCCCUGUGAGAGGCCUGAGAUCACAAGGAUCGCCGUGGCCUGGAGACACAGACAGAGGGAAAAUCCCCAAACCUGUCUUUUGGAGAGGAGGGAGCGGCAGAUGGCAGGAUCAAGCUGGGACUCUCCACAAGAGGUCACUCGGGGACUUUCUUUGCUCCUAUUUCCUAUGUUGAGGAAAAAUUUGCCCUUUUUUACACUUUCUCUAAAUA